UACGAAGGGUGCUAGCGUUGUUCGGAAUUACUGGGCGUAAAGCGCGCGUAGGCGGCCACUCAAGUCAGGGGUGAAAUCCUGGGGCUUAACCCCAGAAUUGCCUUUGAAACUGUGUUGCUAGAGUGUCGGAGGGGAUAGCGGAAUUGCUAAUGUAGAGGUGAAAUUCGUAGAUAUUAGCAGGAACACCGGUGGCGAAGGCGGCUAUCUGGACGACAACUGACGCUGAGGCGCGAAAGCGUGGGGAUCAAACAGG
rnacentral:rRNA from 1 species